UNGGCGAAAGAUUUAUCGGCUUAAGAUGAGCCCGCGUUGGAUUAGCUAGUUGGUGGGGUAAAGGCCUACCAAGGCGACGAUCCAUAGCUGGUCUGAGAGGAUGAUCAGCCACACUGGGACUGAGACACGGCCCAGACUCCUACGGGAGGCAGCAGUGGGGAAUAUUGGACAAUGGGCGGAAGCCUGAUCCAGCCAUGCCGCGUGAGUGAAGAAGGCCUUAGGGUUGUAAAGCUCUUUCACCGGUGAAGAUAAUGACGGUAACCGGAGAAGAAGCCCCGGNUAACUUCGUGCCAGCAGCCGCGGUAAUACGAAGGGGGCUAGCGUUGUUCGGAUUUACUGGGCGUAAAGCGCGCGUAGGCGGAUAGAUAAGUCAGAGGUGAAA
rnacentral:rRNA from 2 species